CAGAAAAGUAACAAAUGCAGCAGGCCAUGUGAGUCGAGGGUACCAGAGGGCUCUGGUUGUCGUUGGGGCUUCCUUUUAUGGAGUUAAAGGCUCCCACACCAGCAAGCCUCAGCGCAGCAGCAAAAGCUCCUCUUAUGAGUGUGCACAGCCUCUGUCAAUCAUCCUGCUGGAAGGCACUGGCUGACAUUGUGAGAUCAGGCUAGGUGCCCCAGGACUCCCAACUGGUGCUGAAAACCUGGAGGAUUUCUAGAGAGAUAUUGGUCUUUCAUCAACAAAGGAAGCCUGGAAAGCUGAUUUUGAUGUCAGCAAAGAAAUCAGCAGCAGCAGCAGCAGAAGCAGAUACAUACAGGAUAACAUCCAUGAGGCUCUCUCCAAACCCCUGGAUCUUGGGCUUCCAGUUUCCAGACAUUAGUGGAGAUUGAAUCCAGGGCCUUAUUCACGCUAGGUUAAGGAACUGCUUUCUGAAUACUGCAAGCAGUUGGAGUUGGGAACAGCCAUCUCUGUGUUUUCCAGCAUCCUGCAGACAUCAGGCCACUGUACACCCUAUGGAGGUUGUUCUUCAUCUUUUGCUUCCCAGGCCUACUGUAACAAGGAGACUGGGCUUCAGUGGAGAGCUCUGGGAUCAGAACAGCCUAGUGCCACAAGAGAAAAUGAAUCGAGAGGCUCUAGAGUGAGGAAGUGCUCUGUGAUUUGUAGAGUGCCUGCUUCUGUAAUCUCCAUUUCACAAUUACUGCAACCCUGUGUCCUUAUUCCUCCAAUGUCUUCAUCCUCUGCCACCUAACGCUAAGUCCAGAGGCUGGUGAACUGGAGUAGACAUCCACUGAAGGAGCACACGUACGCAUUGUCUGCAGGCUCUGUGGAAAUGAUAUUAUCUCUUUCAUUGGUCACCAACUCUGCAACAGCCAUGAUGUGCCUCAUUUCCCAGUUGAGAAGAAUGGUGUUCUACGAGUCUAAGCGACACAUACAAGCAGAGAGCAAAGAGUGGAGUUUCCACAGGAAGCCUGAACUUCCUCCUUGUGAAAGAUGAACAUGUGCUCAGGAGAACGGUGUUUUUGUUCUUUUCUUCCUAGCAUUAAGGACAGAUGAAAUUCAUUCCCAGAGCCAGGCAAGAAGAUGAAAUGCAGAUGCAAGAUGAGCAGCCUGGCUCCUGGCUCCCAGGUAUCCCUGCAGGUAGGGACAAGCCUCCAAAGGAGCCCAGGACAGCCACACCUCUACUAUUUCUGACAUCUUGGAUUCAAUGUAAUACCAUGUGAAUUUAUUUCCUACCAUAUGUGAUUUUUUGCUUAUUUGUAAGCAAAAGUGACAUGUUUCAGUAGCUCCUGGCCUAUGCUUUACACAUCUGGUUCACAAUGGAUAGAAGAGGGGCUUACUUGGCCACCUAGAAAGAUGGAGGUGGGGACCAAAGUGAUGGCUUAGCUGAUAAAGGUCCUGCUGCACAGGUGUGAGGACCAGAGUUUGCGUUCCCAGCACCCAUGCAGAAGCUAGGUCCUCAGCAAUGAUCAGUACAUGGAAAAAAGCUGGGUCCCUGGAGCUCAUUGGCCAAUAAGACUGCCUCAAUUAAUCAGGUUCAAGUGAGAGAUGUCAACUCAAAAACAGAUGAAGAGAAAUUGAGGACGAUAUCUGAUGUCCAUCUCUAGUGUGUGAGCACACAUGUGCACAUAUACCUGCUCACACACAGAGAAAGAAGCCUGUAGGGUGGAGGUAUCGUGCAAGUGCCCUUAUUCAUCAGUGCCAGCGGCAGCAGAGCCCGACAGUCAGUUCUGCUCUGUGCAAACAACCUCACCGGAUUCUGUCUGUGUCUUCUGUUUAUGGAAAACCUGUCAUCCAUCUGCCUGGGAAGGAUCCUUGCUGUUCUCAUGGGAGCCUUUCUUUCCUUUUGUCCUCUACACCCACAGGGCCCCGCCAUCCUCCAGGAGACCUUUCCAGACUGCACCUGCUCUGCGUGUGCUGUGUGUUUGCUGUGUGCUAUGGACUCAAAUCCUCACACUGGUGCAUCGGGGUCAUCUUGACUAGGUCGUCUUCCCCGCCCCAUGCUGCCACCAUCUUGAAAGGAGGCACAGGUGGAUAAAUCUGCCCCUCAGAGAAAGAAUAUUAGACAGGACCAGUGCAUUUGGAAGACUGGGGUACUGAAAAAGAGUCACUUUCAAAAGGUUCUAAAAUUCAGGGCUUGGGCCGGUGUGGUAGUUCAGAAGGUAAAGGAGUUUGACAACCUGAGUCUCAUCGCUGGGGUCCACAUGGUGGAAAGGGAGAGCCUACUCCAGAGAGCUGGUCUCUAACCCCCACAGGAAUGUUGUGCACAUACACACAAAGAUAGUUAAAAACUUAACCAAAACAUUGAAGGCCAGGGCUCUGCCCUGCUGUAGAACAGGAAACCUCUGUAAGGAAGGACAGCCCACCUUCUGAAGGGAAGGUAAGAGGAGACUUCAGUUUCAAAGAUGGCUGCCCUUGGAGACUGCCCCGCCCAACUUUCUCUGGUGAAGUUCUCCAGAAGAGACUGUAGAUAGUCAUCAAGAGACCUCGGGAACUCCUGACAUGGCAGGUGUAUGCAUUCAUUUUUGUUCAGAUGACAGGGCUUUGCUUUUGGCCUCCAUCAAUAACCCAGGACCCUUUUCUACAUGAGCUUAUGUAGUCACUGGGUUUGUGGAACCUUCCAAAGCAAAAGUGAACAAAAUCCCCUCGGCCUUUAGUAACUAACGUCUUAUCAAAAGCUAAAGAGCUGGUUGCCUUCAGCUUGAACCUUGAAAAUUUCUGAUCCUUCCCCCACCCCCGCCCCCAGUAUAUAUGGCAGAAAGACAAGGCACAACAUUGGAAGUUGUCACGUGAAAGGUAGGGGACAUUUCCCGACCCAGAGCUUACUUCUCUGAGCAGCUGGAUUCUACUCUAUGUGGAUGGCCAGCAUGUUAAAUAGAUAGAGUAGCAGUGGCCAUGCUAAUAAGUUAGGUCAUCAAACUCACCUGGAAUAUUUAUCAGCAGUCCAAACUCCUCAAGUUAUAAAUACCCUUAAAAAAAUCUAAAGAUACCAAUGGUUAACUGGGGGAUCAUCUUUAAAAAAUACUGUCACCCACUGAAUCUAGAAAUCUGGCCUCUGUUCUGCAAAAUAAACAAUCAUUUCACCCCUUUGUUUAAAAAAAAAAUCAUUACACAGGCCUGAAUUAAAAGGUUAGCCUUGGGCCUAGAGAGAUGGCUCAGCAGUUAAGAGUACUGGCUGGUUUGAAGAGGACCCAGGUUCAAUUCCCAGCACCCACAGGGCAGCUCACAACCACCCGUCACUCCAGUUAGGGAGGACACAAAUAGCUUUCAAGGGAAAAUUUUAGCAAAUCCUUUUCCCCCCCAGUGCAUCAGCUUGGAAGUGUGAACUUACCAAUUUAGGAAGAGAUUCACACUCGGGAAAAGAUACUGGUUCACCCUGACUGUGCUUCCUAGUCCUUCACGUUCAUACAUGGAGAACAAAGGAGACUGACUCUGCGGCAGAAAACAGCUCUCUGGGUAAAAACCGGCCCUAACGUUUUAUCGUGCAGAGGCCGACUCCUAACACCUGUGACAGAAAGAAGCCUUCAAGGCUCCUGGAAGGACACUGCCCCUCAUUGCCAGGGUGAUGAGCUGAGUAGUAUGUGUGCUGAACGGGCAAGACUCCGUCCCCAGGGCAAUGGACUGACGGCUGUGUGUGCUGAACCGGCAGGACUCCAGGGGCCACACAGGUGGCCCUGACACCCCCUUCCCCAGAGUUAAGGCUGCACAGCUUCUACAGAAGCGGAAAGGAAAGGAUACACACUGCUUUCCAGAGGUUUCUGGAUUGGAGGGGAGGCUGAGAGUCCGUUGCCCCAGGCAGACCAGAGCGAAGUUAUUAAGAGAAUUCAUGAGUGUGUCACCAGGAAGAGAGGCAUCAGCAGCUCCAAUCAUAUGUGCCUCAGGGGUCAAAAAAUCAAAUCCCCAUCUAGGAAGUGUCAGGUGCUGCCGCUCUGUCUCCAUGGUAACCCAGGAGGUAGAGUCAAGAGCACACCUGUACUUAGUACAUAACAGAACGAACCUAAGAAAGCAGUGACAGUUACAUCUUACUCGGAGUCCACCAGAGAACAUAAAUGCUUUCUGUUUAUUUGUUUGUUUCUGACAUUUUCUUGGAAUGGAUAAAUCCCCGCUCCAUCAGACUAAAGGACUUAAGAAUCUGUGAAGACCUCACCAAACAAGCAAAAAACCUCCCCAGAUUCCUCCAAAGUGACCAUAGGCCUUUUUAUUUUUUUGUAAAAUAAUCCAAGAGGCCUCCCAUACCUUUCGCAUAACCUACCGUCUCUUUACCUCUCUGGCUCCUAAAACACUGGGAAAGUGCAGAGGCCUCGAACUUACAUGUCAAGAUUGCUGAGAAAGGGUGGUGUUGGCUUCUUAUUGUUUUGUUAAUAAUUAAAACCACUUGUGGUAGGAUGGAGACACGGCUCAGAGUAUAAGAGCACU